rnacentral:rRNA from 1 species
ACCCUAGUAAUUCUAGAGCUAAUACGUGCUAAAAGCCUUGACUUCCAGCAAUGGGGGAAGAGGUGUAUUUAUUAGAAACUAAAAUCAAUCAGCUUCGGCUGUUUGAGGUGAUUCAUAAUAACUUGGCAAAUUACGGGAAAAUUCCUGUGAUGAUUCAAACGGAUUUCUGACCUAUCAACUUUAGAUGGCAAAGUAGGGGUUUGCCAUGGUGACAACGGGUGACGGGGAAUUAGGGUUCGAUUCCGGAGAGGGAGCCUGAGAAACAGCUACCACUUCCAAGGAAGGCAGCAGGCGCGCAAAUUACCCAAUGCUAAUUCGGCGAGGUAGUGACAAGAAAUACCAAUGUAGGACCCAACGGGUACUACGUUUGGAAUGAGUACAAUUUAAAAACCUUAACGAGGAACAAUUGGAGGGCAAGUCUGGUGCCAGCAGCCGCGGUAAUUCCAGCUCCAAUAGUGUAUAUUAAAGUUGCUGCGGUUAAAAAGCUCGUAGUUGGAUUACGAAGUGGUGUUUAAAUGUUAAUUUUGGUUGGUCUGUCCUUCGGGGCAUUCUGGCUGACUUUGGCACUUACUCACUGAUGUCAUUGUCUUUGCCCAAGGUAAUUGCCUUGUGUGCAUGGCAUUGACCUUCUAUUUUAUGGUAAUGAGGUCAUCUUUCGGGGUGACUCUUCAUUCCAUAUAGUUUACUUUGAAAAAAUUAGGGUGUUUAAAGCAGGCGAAAAGGCUUCGGAAUAUAUUAGCAUGGGAUAAUAGAAUACGAUUUAGGUCGUAAUUUGUUGGUUUCUACGGCUUAGGUAAUGAUUGACAGGGAUAGUUGGGGUCGCUCGUAUUGAGUUGUCAGAGGUGAAAUUCUAGGAUUAACUCAAGACGAACUAAUGCGAAAGCAUUCGGCAAGGAUGUUUUCAUUAAUCAAGAACGAAAGUUGGGGGAUCGAAGAUGAUCAGAUACCGUCGUAGUCUCAACUGUAAACUAUGUCGACCGAGGAUCCGGUAGCGUUACAUGGAUGACCUUCCGGGCACUCUGUGAGAAAUCAUAAGUAUUUGGAUUUCGGGGGGAGUAUGGUCGCAAGGCUGAAACUUAAAGGGAUUGACGGAAGGGCACCACCAGGAGUGGAAUCUGCGGCUUAAUUUGACCCAACACGGGAAAACUUACCAGGUCCGGACACAGUGAGGAUUGACAGAUUGAGAGCUCUUUCUUGAUUUUGUGGGUGGUGGUGCAUGGCCGUUUUUAGUUGGUGGAGUGUUUUGUCUGGUUAAUUCCGUUAACGAACGAGACCUUAACCUAUUAAAUAGCUGCGCGAACCCAGGUUCUUUAACCAUUCU